rnacentral:lncRNA from 10 species
UAUUUUCUUUUGCAUGUUUAGACAUAUCAUGGAAUGGAAUCAUAGUUGUACCUCUCAUUGUGCACCUUUCUCCUCUCUCAAAAUUAUACUCUCAAGAUUUAUCCAUUUGGUCAAUCGCUAGAUAAUUUUCACUGCUCAUUGUAUGACUGACCCAUAUUUGUUUUUACAUUCCUUAGUGAGAGAGGUUAUUUCUACUUUAACGGCCUUACAGAGCAGCAAUGAACAUCAUGUGCAAUGGAUUCACCAAGCAGAUUCCCAAAAGUGAAUUUGCUGCGAAAUCUGCAACUUUGUUAGCUAUUACCAAAUUGCUCUCUGGGUUGAUUGCAUCAAGGUACCAAUUUAGACUCCCAUUGGCAGUAUACGUAGUUUGAGGGUCCCCGUGGACUAAUGUCUGAUUCAUGCAUGAGAAAUCUGAACCGAGAGAGGCUAGCCGAGGCAGCUUGGGGUGGAGGUGGGAGGCGGAGAAUAAUGGCUGCAGAGGGAUCAGCUUGCAUACACAGAAUUUGCCAGCACAAAGAACGUGCAGGUGUUUCCCAUGGAGCAGAUGUGGACCACCAUGAGACAGCUUAGGUCCUGCCCAACAGGCCUGGGAGGAAGGCAAUGAACUUCAGCACUGAGAACCUCAAAGAGUCACCAAAUUCCUAGAGGCUGAAAAAGGAGUACACAUUUGCCUUGCCAGAGGAACCUCAGGGACUACACAGUAGGACUUUAAAACCUAAGAGUGAACAGAAAAGUCAUGACU